AUGGCGAGCAUCUUCUGGGGCGGCGCCCAGGCCGACGAGGUGGCCGACUUCGACGAGCACGACCCCACCCCCUACGGCGGCGGCUAUGACAUCACCCUCACCUUCGGCCGCGCCCUCCCGCCCUCCGACGAGAUUUGCUACCCCAUCUCCACCGCCUCCACCUCGUCGUCAUCGUAUGAGAGCCACGGCGCGGCCGAGCAGCACCGCAGGAGGCCGCAGGACCAGGACAGCCACGGCUCCGCGGGGUACGGGAGGAGGCCGGAGGAGUCACACGGCUCCGCUGCUGGUUACGGGCACGGGAGGAAGGCUCACGACGACGACGACGACGACGGUGGUGCGUACCGGAAGCCGAAGCCGUCCCACGGCGACGACGACCGGCCCAGCUACGGCCGCAAGAAGAACGACGACGACGACGACGACGAGAGGCGGUCGCGGUACAAAAAGCGCGACGACGACGACGAUGAUGAGAGGAAGCCGCGGUACAAGAAGCACGACGACGACGAUGAUGACCACGAGAGGAGGCCGCGGUACAAGAAACGUGACGACGACGACGAUGAUGACGAUGACAGAAAGCCACGUUACAAGAAGCGCUACGACGACGACGACGAUGAUGAUAGGAAGCCACGUUACAAGAAGCACGAUGAUGAUGAUGACGACGACGAUGAUAGGAAGCAGCGUCGCGGGAACAACCGCCGCCGCCACGAUGACGAUGACUGA
rnacentral:rRNA from 1 species